rnacentral:rRNA from 1 species
GUCUUUUUGUUAAUAAUUUAAAGUCGAAUCUGCCCACUGAUUUUAAAUUAAAGGGCUGCAGUAUAUUGACUGUACAAAGGUAGCAUAAUAAUUAGUCUUUUAAUUGGAGACUUGUAUGAAAGAUUUAAUGAGGUAUAAACUGUCUCUUUUUUAUAAUUUGAAUUUAAUUUUUUAGUAAAAAAGCUAAAAUUUAUUUAAAAGACGAGAAGACCCUAUAGAGUUUUAUAAUUAAUUUAAUUAUAAGUUUAUAUUUAAUUUUAAAGUUAAUUAAUUUAAUUAUUUUGUUGGGGUGAUAGAAAAAUUAAAAUAACUUUUUUUUAAAAAUAAACAUUAAUUAAUGAUUAAAUGAUCCAUUUUUUAUGAUUAUAAGAAAAAAUUACCUUAGGGAUAACAGCGUAAUUUUUUUUUUUAGUUCUCAUAAAAAAAAAAGUUUGCGACCUCGAUGUUGGAUUAAGAUAAAAUUUAAAUGCAGAAGUUUAAAAUUUUUGAUCUGUUCGAUCAUUAAAAUCUUACA